CACAUGUGUUCCAGAACUAAAAGUAUAAUUUAAAAAAAAAAACUAUGCUGAAAUCACUGUAUACUUAACCCCACUGGUAUCCAAGAGUGUUUUCUCUUCUUUGAGUAAGCUCUAGAAACACUGUUCAACUCAAUCAUAACUCUUGCAAUAUUGUAUCACGUGACAUUAACAAUCAACACAAAUAAUAUUCAGAAAUUAAACCGAGUGAAAGCAGUGGAGUGUGCUGAAUGAGACAGGCCCCAGGAGGUUUGCAGAGCUUGAGUGUCUAGCACCCUAUUCUCAGCAAAAAUGCCUGUAAAGUCAAUUUGCCUUAUAAUUUCAUAGCUCCACUUCCACCAAGAUUCAACUUCAGUAUUCCAUUUCUUAACCCAGAGCGGGAACAUAUCCGACUGUAGCUGUUUCUCUGCCUGCAGAUUUUAUGGGGACAGUGAAUGAGAGUAUAUUGUGCUAUUAAACCCUAACCAGGCAGUAAAUUACAGGGAGGAAAACAAAAGCAAAUUCUGCUGAGUAGGAAGAUUUUUUUUAUGUGAAUGAUUGUACCUUAUUCUGAGUAAGCAAAUAAAAUAGUGAAACAUUUCUUAAGAAUUUGUCAUCCUAGUUCAUUUUUGUUUUGCCUUUAGUUUAGCAAUAAAAGGAGUAUUUGAAAGAAAUAGUUUCCACAUGGGGGAAAGUAAGUUGACAGGACAAUAGUAGCCUAGGAGUUGUAAGAGUUGCCAAAUGAAACCUGUUUCAGUAACUACGGAUUUUUUUAAAUCCAUGGACAAACAUGCAGAGGAGAGAAUCAAACUCAAAUAUUUCAACAUUCUCAGUGUUCCUGAGACUGUGGAGUGUUGGCAGCAUCAUUUUUUCAGCAACAUGUGCUUCAAAUUUUUCAGGGGGAGGCAGUGAGGAAGGAGGGAGGCAGAGCAAUGCUAUAAAAUAGACAAAAAUCAGUCUUUGCCCCAUUUGGGGGGUGACCAAUGAUGGUUCUUGGGGACACUGAGAGUGUUUGCCUCCCAUCAAACCUAUUUCUAUGGUUUUUCCAACCCACUCCUUCUCCCAAAAUGGGAGCAGAAUUUGGCAGACGAAGUCCACAGCAUCUUUGUACCAAAUAGGAAAGUACAGAACUCAGUAGUUUUCUUGCUUUCUUUGAUAAUGACACAAGCUCUCCACCAUUGCAUGUGUCAUGUUACGGAAACAAACAAUAAACCCAUCCCUGUGAUAUUCCCAGACCUACCCACCCACUCCCUAAUAUUCAAAAUAAUAUUGAGGGAAUAAAAUGGAAGCAAUGUCAUCAUGAGAUGGGAAUUAAUGUUUUAAUUUGGUAGACAGAGAACUUGAGGUUCUAAGAACUUGCUGUUUUCAAGUUCACAGAAGUUCAAGUCCUUCAGGGGUUCUGUUGUAGCGAUUUUGAGAACAUAGAAAAGUUGUUCAAGGUUAUGGACAUUCAUUUCAAGAAUUCUAGAUCUUAGGGAGCCUCCCUCUUUAACAAGUUCUCAGACUCUGAAGAAUUGGAAGGAUUAAACUUUACACCUAAUUUUUUUCUUUAAAAAAGGUCAAAUUAAAAUUUUCUUAAAAUUGUAACAGUCAUAGAAGUCCUCAAUGUCACAUGGUUUCUUUAGAAACAGAUUCCCUUCCACCCUCUAGAGAGAUUGUUAGGGAAGCUGUUUGCAUUACAAAUGACUACCAGCAAAUAUUUUCAUCAGAAGACAAGGGAAUCUCACUAGAAAUUCAGGAAAUCAGAGAUAUGGAAAGGUCUAUAUGUUUCCAAGAUAGCUCACCUUUAAUUUUGCGGAGAAAACAAAUUUGCUCUUGCUCAAGAGAGUUCUAUAAAACAAAGCUUUUCCAAGAAUUUUUUCUUUAAAGAAAGUGGAAAAAAAGCAGAAACUAGUAUAUGGGGACAGUGAGGACAGAAAUUGUGUUCCUUAAUUAAAAUAUUAAUGAGCAGUCUGCUCACCACAACAAAUGUAACUAUGCAGUCAAAACAGACAUGUCUUGAAAUGGGAGACAACCAAGCAUCUGUAAGGAAAAAAAAAAAAAGCAGAGAAAUAGAAACAUGUGCUGCUCCCAAACAUUUCUUAGGCCAUCUCCUAAAUCCCAGUAUUUUCAUUCACCAGGUCUGGAGGGGACAUUAGAGAUUCUUCCAUUCUGACCAACACGCUCAGAAGAAGCAGUGUGAAGCUGUUUUCAGGGAGCCCAUCCACCACUUCUGGAGACACUCGCUUUUCAGGUAAAGUGAGACAGGCAGAAACAAGUUUACAGUCAUUUGGAGACAGAUCCACGUUGCUGGCCCACCUCGUGAGACUAGAGGAUUCUUCAGGCCUUUGCCAGGACACAAUUGGAAACACUGGUUAUUUUACCAAGGCUUUGACUGGAGUGGCAUAUGACCAGACUGCUUUGAGGAACUGAAGUGAAUUAAUAGAACUGAUAAAAAACCCCUUCAAAAUACUGGCCUCUUACCUUGCCUAAGCAAUUUCUUUACAAAAUUUCUGACCUGUGGUAAGUAAAGAAUGUCACUUUCUUGACCGGCCCAGGAACCUCAAGUUAUUUUGGGAACUCAAGAAGAGAAGAAUUUACCCAAUUUAUACGGGUAUCUGCAGGCACAAAUAAAUUAUCAGCUUGGCUGACCUAGAGGGUCUUUUAAAAGUCUAAUUUGAGGUUUCAUAUUUUAAAAGUUUCAGCAAAGCCAAUUUAAAGGAGCCUAUAUGACCAAUCACUAUUCUUGCUGCACUUUAUGCAAAUCAUCAGGCCAAGUAUAAUAAGAGUAAAACUUGUUUUACAAAUAAAUUGGUUGUAUUGUGAUUCAUCCUUAGUAAAAAUGGGAAACCAGAGAGAAAGAAAUUAUGUUUCAGAAAAAAACUAUAGUACAGCUAUUAUUAGAUUAUAACCUCAUCUAUUGCUUUUCAGUUUUUAUUGUUUAUCUACAAUUUGGACUCAAUCCUGAACUCUCCUGUAGUUACAAGUCUAUACCUAAUAUUUCUCAUUUUUCCCCAUAUGUCUGACUUGGAAUCACUGAAAUUAAAACUGCUUUUUCCUAAAGCCCCACGAGCUGAAGCUAGACAACUUGAUAUAAAUUUUAAGAGAAAUCACUAUAGCAACUAAAUAUCUGAACAGUCUUCAUGCUUGUUGAUGUAUUGACUGCACAGAAAGUUUCCUGGAAUAUCUGAUGUAAACUGCAAACUAGAUUGCCACUAUCUUCUCUGACUUCAUCUGAACAUGCUUCAAGCUCAACAUCUAAAAAUCCUCUCAACUGGCUGACCUCUGGACUAAAAAACUGAGUUUAUAGUUUGUUCUAACCAUUAACUCUGGUUUUUCUUUGAUAUGCACAGAAGUUCUUCUUACUAAAUAUCCAAUUGCUCAAAUCACAUAGAGGACUGACUUUGGGGAAAGCCCAUCAACAACAGCACUGCCUGAUUCACUGUUAACUAUUUAACUGGACUGGCCUAUUCUCUGGGCUGAAAAACUGGUUUAACAGCUUAUAAGACAAUCCAGCAACUCUAUUUCUGAACUAUGAAACUUCUUGGGAAAGUUUCACAAUGGGGAAUGUUGUGGAUCAGAAAACAACAGCCCAAAAUGAAGGCCUCAGCAGCAGCCUCAGAGGCAAGUUUUUCUCUGACCUUCUCCUGCCCUGCUAUCUCUCAGUCCCAUUCUUUCCCAAGGCUAGCCAUAGAAACUAGAAUCCUUCGUCCUUCCGGUGGGUCUUAGAACCAGAACCCUUCUCCCCCAAAUUAGUCAUAAAACCUAAAACUAUUAUUCUAAUAUUCCCUCCACCUUUCUAUGUAAAACUAGCCAUAAAGAAACUAUCUGACCUACCUUGUUUGACUGUAGGUCAUAAGAUCCCAUUCCAGAGAGGGCCCUUCCCCAUACUGAGAAGAACGGAAUGCUUGCUCAGAGAGGCUGAGAAGAAUCUAUACAGGGCUUGCCGGGUUUUCUGCUCUGUCUACUAACAUUAGAAUCUACUCUUUUUGUUCCAUCCUGUUUCUGUAUGGCUGUCCAUAAUUUGUUAAACCUAAGCGUAAAAAUGGACAAUUUCUUCUGUAUCUUUUGGUCUUCAUUCUGAAAGCUCUCUUGUAUACAUGUUAAAUAAAUUUGUAUGCCUUUUCUUUUAUUAAUCAAUUUGCCUUAUGUUGAUAAUUUUCAGCAAAACUUUUUGGAGCCAAGGGCCUUAUAGGGGCCUCACCCAUGAACCUA
rnacentral:lncRNA from 1 species